rnacentral:rRNA from 1 species
GACAGAGGGUGCAAACGUUGUUCGGAAUUACUGGGCGUAAAGCGAGUGUAGGCGGUUUGGUAAGUCGGAUGUGAAAGCCCCGGGCUCAACCCGGGAAGUGCACUCGAUACUGCCAAGCUAGAGUAUCGGAGAGGUUGGUGGAAUUCUCGGUGUAGAGGUGAAAUUCGUAGAUAUCAGAAGGAACACCUGUGGUGUAGACGGCUUUCUGGACAACUCCUGACGCUGAGACACGAAAGCGUGGGUAGCAAACAGG